AGUGCGGUUCAAAUCAAGACUGUAAAGGUUGCGUGGUCUCCGUCAUUUCAAUUGCUUUUUCCCAAAUAGGAUUCCUUGAGAUCAAAUUUACGAUAAAAUUUGCAAAAAUUUGCUGCUUGUCGUCCUUGCAGAGAAUACAUUGCCUCGAGGAAAUAUGCAACACAAAAUACUCUUGGAGAAAAUUACUGAGAAAUUGGAGAAAAAAAAGCCCGCGCACUUCCUUUCUCCACGUGGAUUGAAUUAUCACGCUGGCAUCGAAUCUUUAAAAUCGAUCGCCCUUGUGACCAAUGACUGGCUACCUGCUUGUAUCAGGGAAAGAACACUAACCCUCACAACUCCAUUUUCAGGUAAUUAUUUUGUCAUUAAAAUAACUUUCGCACGCGCUGAGCAAGCGCAGCUGCUCUCCUGUCCUACCAUUUCUAGGGAGCAUGGAAACUAGCUUACGACUAAACAUGGCGGAUACCGAGUACCAAUGUUCUUGAUCAUUACAUGUUGUGGAUUCGUUUGGCAAUACGUUGUUUUCUGGAAAUUUGCAGGUUGAAAGCCAAAGUGACAACGUUUCUGUGAGCUACAUAGGAAAUGUACUUUUCGAAUUACUGUAUGUUGUUAAAUUCACAAGGUGAUUUAGGAGGGUGCUGGAAUUGUUGCUUAUGAUAACAAUAAUCACAUGAUGAUUUAUAUAUAAGUGCUAUACCAUAACACAUGAUGACCAGCUGCUAAUUAUGCACUUCGUUCGUCUGAAAAAUCUCUUCUUUUCGUUCCAAAACUGCUCUACACUUGGGGAUCGGGCCCUUGCUCAUGAUGCACCUGUUUUAUGGGACUUGCUGCCAUUAACUAUAAGAUUUCCUUUUAAGAAAACUUUUAAUUUGUUGGAAUAGCUCUUAUGUUUAAUUUUAAUUUAGUUUGGAAUUUAAGAAUUUCAUUUUUUACCAUAACAUAAUAUAUCAUUGCUGCUAUUUUAGUUCUUAGGGAAUUUUAACUUUAAUUUUAACUUAAUGUAAAGCGCUUUUGAAUAUUCUUGAAUAGCUUUAGUGCUAUACAAAUUCAUUAUCAUUGUCAUUAUGACCAUAACACAUGAUAAAUGCUAUACCAUAACACAUGAUUUAUCCACAUUUGGAAAAUUUUCACUGGAAUGAAAUACUGUUCACCAGAAUCACACGGUAUGAUUCCAAAGUGCUGUUUUACCAACUUAAAGAGAAGUAAUGCUUAAUAGGAUAAAGUGUUAUUACAAAAAGAUAACAAGGAACCAAAGCAGACACAGUGCAAAGUAGUUUUACCAAUACAGAAAGUAUCCUAAACAUUAGCAAAAGCUAACCUUAGGCCUAAUUAGGCCCAAACAGACGUUUUUAGGCUCAAGGUUAGCCUUUAUGAAUAAUUAGGAUACUUUCUGUGACCUGUGUUUUGUAUCUGCCAGUUCAAAUCCUGCAAUGACCACUAGUUGGAUUUGAUCGAGCCAGGUAGUCCCUGGUUCAGUUCCUCAGCUGCACUUCCAAAUAGCCAACUGCUCUGCAGAUCAUUGUUUCCAUAAAUUUGUAAAUAUGAUUUUUUAGUUUUAAUUUUUCCUUUCUUCAGUCAUUGUAAAUAUAAUAGGAUAUGGUUGUAAAUUUGUAAAUAUUUAUUACUUGAAUGUGUCAUAAUACUGGAAAGCGCCUUGAACAUAGGAUAAGUGCCCUCUAGAAAUAAAGUUAUUAUUAUUAUUGUUGUUAUUAUUGUAAAUAGUGGUUAUGAUGUCACCAUAGCAACAUACUUGUUACCAGGCUUUAACCUUUCCAAAAUGAAAAGUGCCUUUCAUGUUGCCCCAGAGUCUGACAGACUUUCUUGUACUUGUGCUGUGCAAAGUUCAUAUUCUCUUACACCCACUGAAUAAACAUCAAGAGCAAAUUACAUUUCUUGAAGGAGGAGAACUUUGACUUUACACUUUGGAUGGGAAGGGCCUGGAGCCAAUUGUGCUGCCAUGGAAAUGUCAUAAAGGAUAUGCCGUGGAACUUUGUGAUGAGUGUAAGAACUGUACAGAGUUUUAGUUCUGUGCUUAAAAUGCUUUCAGAGAUGUUUCUUUUUUUGUGACGUUACAAGUAAUCUAAUUUGCAUACAUCAAAAUCUUUAACAACUCGGGAACCGAAAGUGCUAUAAAAACAAAGUAAAUGCCAUUCCUCGUUAUUUUGAAAGCUCUUCCUAACAUGCUAAUAAAAAAUUCCUGUCAUUCACACCUUAAAUCUUCACGUAUUCGAUAGUUAAGAUUCGUGCGUGAAUAAAUACAAACACCACCUCCAUUCCUUUCAUGAAUUUUACGAUCUUUCCCGACCAAUUCAAAGCCAUUUAGGUAGGUGUCGUUGUUAUGCACUGCAGAAUCCAAUUUAGACUCGUUGACUACUAAAACGCCAACUUUAGAAGAGGAGAUAAAAACUCCGAGUUUAUCAAUAUGGGACAGCAGAGUAUUAAUGUUAAGACUAAACCUCGAUCCCAGAUGCUAGAAUGGCGGGACUUACCUCGGUCAUUACACUUGCAGGCACCAGUAGGAUGACGGCACUCUCUUAAUCUUGACAGAGUUAAUAAAAUUCUCAGCAAGACGAGAGGUUCCACCCUUGUUUAGAGAGACAGCUCCGAUUCAGGUGGUCAAUCGCUUAAGCAGCAACGAGAAAGACCUGGAAAAUUCAGGCCUAAACGGAGAUUCGAUCCCUUACCUCCGCGAUGCUGGUGAAGUGCUCCACCAGUUCAGUUAUCAAGCGAACUGGGAGGUCCCAGUUGGCCUGAUAGCUCCACUGGUGCAGCACUGCAUCCCCAUCGCAGAGGUCAGGGUUCUAAUCAGCGUUCAGAUCCUGCCUUAACCAGCAGCAAGAAAUGUCUGAAACAUUCAGGGUGAAUACUUCAGGCCAUUCUCGUUGCUGCUCAAGCAACAUUAAAAACUGCGAUGAUCAUACACAAUUAUUGUUAUCCGUAGUUCUAACACAUGACAUUUAUGUAUUACCAUCAUAUAUAGCUUUCUUGAAUACCAAAACACACAAAUACCUCCAGCCCAAAUUUCACCUAAAAUUUUACUUUAUUUGCGAUUUUAACCAAAUAUGACAACCAUACAUGUAAGUCAUAUUCUAAUAAGAAGGUGCUGUAGGUAUUCCAUUUCAAAGUCCAAAAAACAAAUUAAGUUUGUAUUUGGUAUGUUUUAACAAGAGGCUAAAAAACCUAGGGAUGAAUAAAAUGUUGAUGUCUCUUUCUUUAUAUUACUCAGUUGCAAUAGGUGAAUUGCAAUGUAGACUACAGUGGCCAAAAAUAAGAGACUUAACACGUUGCACUGCUAUUUGGUCUUAUGAAUAAUAAAUUGCAAUUCGACUU